rnacentral:rRNA from 1 species
UACGUAGGGGCAAGCGUUAUCCGGAUUUACUGGGUGUAAAGGGAGCGUAGACGGUUAUGCAAGUCUGGAGUGAAAGGCGGGGGCUCAACCCCCGGACUGCUCUGGAAACUGUAGAACUAGAGUGCAGGAGGGGUAAGUGGAAUUCCUAGUGUAGCGGUGAAAUGCGUAGAUAUUAGGAGGAACACCAGUGGCGAAGGCGACUUACUGGACUGUAACUGACGCUGAGGCAUGAGAGCAUGGGGAGCAAACGAGG